rnacentral:rRNA from 1 species
GAUGAACGCUAGCUACAGGCUUAACACAUGCAAGUCGAGGGGAAACGCCAUCGAAAGCUUGCUUUUGAUGGGCGUCGACCGGCGCACGGGUGAGUAACGCGUAUCCAACCUGCCCAUCACUUGGGAAUAACCUUGCGAAAGUAAGACUAAUACCCAAUGACAUCCCACGAAGACAUCUGAAUGGGAUUAAAGAUUUAUCGGUGAUGGAUGGGGAUGCGUCUGAUUAGCUUGUUGGCGGGGUAACGGCCCACCAAGGCAACGAUCAGUAGGGGUUCUGAGAGGAAGGUCCCCCACAUUGGAACAGAGACACGGGCCAAACUCCUACGGGAGGCAGCAGUGAGGAAUAUUGGUCAAUGGGCGAGAGCCUGAACCAGCCAAGUAGCGUGCAGGAUGACGGCCCUAUGGGUUGUAAACUGCUUUUAUAAGGGAAUAAAGUGGGUCUCGUGAGACUUUUUGCAUGUACCUUAUGAAUAAGGACCGGCUAAUUCCGUG